rnacentral:rRNA from 1 species
UACGUAGGUGGCAAGCGUUGUCCGGAUUUACUGGGCGUAAAGAGCGCGCAGGCGGUCGUACAAGUCGCGUGUGAAAGCCCCCGGCUCAACUGGGGAGGGUCACGCGAUACUGUUCGACUCGAAGGCAGGAGAGGGAAGCAGAAUUCCCGGUGUAGUGGUGAAAUGCGUAGAUAUUCGGAAGAACACCAGUGGCGAAGGCGGCUCACUGGACUGGUAUUGACGCUGAGGUGCGAAAGCGUGGGGAGCAAACAGG